GAGUUUGAUCGUGGCUCAGGACGAACGCUGGCGGCGUGCCUAAUACAUGCAAGUCGAGCGAGCGGAACUAACAGAUUUACUUCGGUAAUGACGUUAGGAAAGCGAGCGGCGGAUGGGUGAGUAACACGUGGGGAACCUGCCCCAUAGUCUGGGAUACCACUUGGAAACAGGUGCUAAUACCGGAUAAGAAAGCAGAUCGCAUGAUCAGCUUUUAAAAGGCGGCGUAAGCUGUCGCUAUGGGAUGGCCCCGCGGUGCAUUAGCUAGUUGGUAAGGUAAAGGCUUACCAAGGCGAUGAUGCAUAGCCGAGUUGAGAGACUGAUCGGCCAC
rnacentral:rRNA from 1 species